rnacentral:tRNA from 1 species
GCCCCGUUCGUCUAGCGGCCUAGGACAGUGGGUUUUCAGCCCAUUAAUCGUCGGUUCGAAUCCGACACGGGGUA